UACGGAGGGUGCAAGCGUUAAUCGGAAUUACUGGGCGUAAAGCGCACGCAGGUGGCUGAGUCAGUCGAUUGUGAAAGCCCUGGGCUUAACCUGGGGAAUUGCAGUCGAUACUACUCGGCUCGAGUAUGGGAGAGGGCAGUGGGAAUUCUCGGUGUAGCGGUGAAAUGCGUAGAUAUCGAGAGGAACACCUGCGGCGAAGGCGGGUUGCUGGGCUGACACUGACGUGAACUGCGAAAGCUAGGG
rnacentral:rRNA from 1 species